UCAUUCCAUUGGUUCUGAAAAGGUUGCAAACUCCGCCAGCAUCGUCAUUCGUCAUUGAUCCGCAUCGAUCAGCAGCAUCGACCAGAAGAGAGAAGACUAUGAACCAUGAAGAGAAAGUCAGAAGACAUCGCUUCUUACUUUAAGAAGAAAAUUAGCGCAGGAGGAGAGAGAGAGCCGACGGUUGAGCAGAGGCAUAGUGAUGAGGAGAUGGAGGAGGAAGAUGAGGGGGAGGAGCAGACAGAGCAGCAUGAGCAUGCUGGAGAGGGACAGUUAGCAGAGAGCACAGAGGCGAGGCAGGGGUCAGCAGCAGGUGUUCGAUCUGCUCCUGGACCAACAGAUAUCUCGCAGUCAAGAGCAGAACAGCCAAAACAGCCACAUCUUCAAAACUUC